rnacentral:rRNA from 1 species
CCCUUAGAUGUCCUGGGCUGCACGCGCGCUACACUGAUGAAUUCAACGAGCCUAGCCUUGUCCGAAAGGUCCGGGUAAUCUCUGAAACUUCAUCGUGAUGGGGAUAGAUCAUUGCAAUUAUUGAUCUUCAACGAGGAAUUCCUAGUAAGCGCAAGUCAUCAGCUUGCGUUGAUUACGUCCCUGCCCUUUGUACACACCGCCCGUCGCUUGUACCGAUUGGAUGGUCCGGUGAAAUCUUCGGAUAGCUGGUAGUUGGCUUGCCAUCUACUGCUAAAAGUUGCUUAAACCUUAUCAUCUAGAGGAACAAGAAGUCGUAACA